rnacentral:rRNA from 1 species
ACAUGAGCAAAAUCUCAACUUUAUUAGAAGAGACGCAUUUAUUAGAUAAAAAGCCAGUUCAUGCUUUUACAGUAUGAAAAUUGGUGAUUUAUAAUAACUUAGCAAAUCGCAAAGUGAAAACAGGCGAUAAAUCAUUCAAGUUUCUGACCUAUCAGCUUUCGACGGUAUGGUAUUGGCUUACCGUGGCAGUGACGGUUAACGGGGGAUUAGGGUUCGAUUCCGGAGAGGGAGCCUGAGAAACGGCUACCACAUCUAAGGAAGGCAGCAGGCGCGCAAAUUACCCAAUUCUAACAGUUUGAGAGAGGUAGUAACAAGAAAUAACAAUACAAGGCAGUUAAAAUGCUUUGUAAUUGGAAUGAUAGAAAUUUAAACCCUUUUUAAAGUAUCAAUUGGAGGGCAAGUCUGGUGCCAGCAGCCGCGGUAAUUCCAGCUCCAAUAGCGUAUAUUAAAAUUGUUGCAGUUAAAAAGCUCGUAGUUGAAGUUCUGCUGAAAGUAACCGGUCUGCUUUUAAUAAAAGUGGUAUCUUGGUAUGUAUUUAGCAAUGAUGUCCUUUGAAGUGUUUUUUACUUUAUUGUAAUAAAGCAUAUUCAGGACUUUUACUUUGAGAAAAUUAGAGUGUUUCUAGCAGGCUGACGCUUUGAAUACUGCAGCAUGGAAUAAUAAG